UCGGGAAUUUUGGGCAAUGGGCGAAAGCCUGACCCAGCAACGCCGCGUGAGGGAUGAAGUAUUUCGGUAUGUAAACCUCGAAAGAAUGGGAAGAAUAAAUGACGGUACCAUUUAUAAGCUCCGGCUAACUACGUGCCAGCAGCCGCGGUAAUACGUAGGGAGCAAGCGUUGUUCGGAUUUACUGGGCGUAAAGGGCGCGUAGGCGGCGCGGUAAGUCACUUGUGAAAUCUCUGAGCUUAACUCAGAACGGCCAAGUGAUACUGCUGUGCUAGAGUGCGGAAGAGGCAACCGGAAUUCUUGGUGUAGCGGUGAAAUUCGUAGAUAUCAAGAGGAACACCUGAGGCGAAGGCGGGUUGCUGGGCCGACACUGACGCUGAUGCGCGAGAGCCAGGGGAGCAAACG
rnacentral:rRNA from 1 species